CUGAGUCUCGAUUAUUUUAUUUAGCUCUUUCAGAUAUUCCACAGCUCGGUUCGGGUUCUCCGCUGCGCCUUCCAUGGCGAACAUACAAGCUGUGCAUAAGUUCGUUCGCCCGCGGGAAAAUGAAUCUCAGCUUUUCCUUAACACUGAGGUGCAAGUCCUGGAACUGUUACCCCAGCAGCACUGAGGAAUGUCUUCACAAGAAUGGCAGGGGUGGUUCAAGAUGGUGGCUCAUCACUUCCUCUCCAGGGCAAUUGGGGACCUGCUGAGUAUUUCCAUUCCUCUCAGCAACAAGCAUUUUAGAUUUCCAGCAUCUGUAGUUUUUUAAAAAUUUUCGGUCAGGGAUUAUUAAUGAAUGCAGGCUAUGCCCAGAUUUAUACAAAAUAAAUAAUUUAAUUUUAAAAA